rnacentral:rRNA from 1 species
CCUACGGGAGGCAGCAGUGAGGAAUAUUGGUCAAUGGGCUUACGCCUGAACCAGCCAAGCCGCGUGAGGGAAGACUGCCCUAUGGGUUGUAAACCCCUUUUGUCAGGGAGCAACGCCGGCUACGUGUAGCCGGACUGAGAGUACCUGAAGAAAAAGCAUCGGCUAACUCCGUGCCAGCAGCCGCGGUAAUACGGAGGAUGCGAGCGUUAUCCGGAUGUAUUGGGGUUACAGGGUGCGUAGGCGGAAUGCCAAGUCAGCGGUAAAAUCGCGGGGCUCAACCUCGCUCCGCCGUUGAAACUGGCGUUCUUGAGUGGGCGAGAAGUAUGCGGAAUGCGUGGUGUAGCGGUGAAAUGCAUAGAGAUCACGCAGAACUCCGAUUGCGAAGGCAGCAUACCGGCGCCCAACUGACGCUGAGGCACGAAAGCGUGGGUAGCGAACAGGAUUAGAUACCCUUGUAGUC